rnacentral:rRNA from 1 species
GACGAACGCUGGCGGCGUGCUUAACACAUGCAAGUCGAACGGAAAGGCCCUGCUUUUGUGGGGUGCUCGAGUGGCGAACGGGUGAGUAACACGUGAGUAACCUGCCCUUGACUUUGGGAUAACUUCAGGAAACUGGGGUUAAUACCGGAUAGGAGCUCCUGCUGCAUGGUGGGGGUUGGAAAGUUUCGGCGGUUGGGGAUGGACUCGCGGCUUAUCAGCUUGUUGGUGGGGUAGUGGCUUACCAAGGCUUUGACGGGUAGCCGGCAUGAGAGGGUGACCGGCGACAUUGGGACUGAGAUACGGCCCAGACUGCUACGGUAGGCAGCAGUGGGGAAUAUUACACAAUGGGACGAAGCCUGAGGCAGCAACGCCGCGUGCGGGAUGACGGCCUGCGGGUUGUAAACCGCUUUCGCCUGUUACGAAGCGGGAGUGACGGUAAUGGGUAAAGAAGCACCGGCUAACUACGUG